rnacentral:rRNA from 1 species
AUUGAACGCUGGCGGAAUGCUUUACACAUGCAAGUCGAACAGCAGCACGGGGGCAACCCUGGUGGCGAGUGGCGAACGGGUGAGUAAUACAUCGGAACGUGCCCAGUCGUGGGGGAUAACGUAGCGAAAGUUACGCUAAUACCGCAUACGAUCUACGGAUGAAAGCGGGGGACCGUAAGGCCUCGCGCGAUUGGAGCGGCCGAUGUCAGAUUAGGUAGUUGGGGAGGUAAAGGCUCACCAAGCCGACGAUCUGUAGCUGGUCUGAGAGGACGACCAGCCACACUGGGACUGAGACACGGCCCAGACUCCUACGGGAGGCAGCAGUGGGGAAUUUUGGACAAUGGGCGCAAGCCUGAUCCAGCCAUUCCGCAUGCAGGACGAAGGCCUUCGGGUUGUAAACUGCUUUUGUACGGAACGAAAAGGCUCUGGUUAAUACCUGGGGCUCAUGACGGUACCCGCAGAAGAAGCCCCGGCUAACUUCGUGCCAGCCGCCGCCGUAA